CUUGCAAAGGCGAAAAGUCGUGCAAGAGUGUAUGCUGACCAAGCUGCGACAAACCCCUGCCUUUGUCUGGAACCGCCCGCAGGUCCUCACACGUAAAAUACAAGAGGGAGCUGAAUCAGACUUUGAUCUUGCACCUGGGUCCCUAAGGUAGCGAAACUCAUCAAAAAUAAUGCGGAGUAAACAAGACCUCACCCAAUAAGGGGAAGCUGUGGUCAAAAGCAUUUUGUCCCGGAACCCCUCUGCCUUCCCCAGACCCUGGCGCGGAGCCCAACAAUUGAUGUCUCUCCGCGGCACUUUUCUUCAUUUCCUUGGAGGUCUCAUCUGCUUUCUAGAUCUGCCUGGGGAGAAUGGGGGCCUCUUUUCCAAGAAGCCCAGAGCCUGUGGAGCCCCCAGCGCCCGCUCUCGCUGUCCCCUGCGGA
rnacentral:lncRNA from 1 species